GACGAACGCUGGCGGCGUGCUUAACACAUGCAAGUCGAACGAAGUGGCGAACGGGUGAGUAAUACGUGGGUAACCUGCCCUCCUGUUUGAGAUAAGCCUUGGAAACGGGGUCUAAUAUCAAAUAAAGGGGGAUGGGCUCGCGGCCUAUCAGCUUGUUGGUGGGGUGCUGGCCUAACAAGGCGGUGACGGGUAGCCGGCCUGAUAGGGUGUACUGCCACUGUGAGACUGCGAUACGGCCCAGAGUCGUACGGGAGGGAGCAUUGUGCGAUAUUGCACAAUGGGCGAAAGACUGAUGCAGCGACGCUGAGCGGGGGAUGAAGGCUGUCGGGUUGUAAUACUCGUGCGCAAUAGAUCGGGUAGGUGGAGAAGAAGCGCCGGCUAACUACGUGCCAGCAGCCGCGGUAAUUC
rnacentral:rRNA from 1 species